rnacentral:rRNA from 1 species
AGCAGUAGCCACGGUAAUACGAGGGGGGCAAGCGUUGUUCGGAAUUAUUGGGCGUAAAGGGUGCGUAGGCGGUUUGGCAAGUUUGGUGUGAAAUCUUCGGGCUCAACUCGAAGUCUGCAUCGAAAACUGCCGGGCUUGAGUAUGGGAGAGGUGAGUGGAAUUUCCGGUGUAGCGGUGAAAUGCGUAGAUAUCGGAAGGAACACCUGUGGCGAAAGCGGCUCACUGGACCAUAACUGACGCUGAUGCACGAAAGCUAGGGGAGCAAACAGGAUUAGAUACCCCCGUAGUCCCUGUCUCUUAUAA